rnacentral:rRNA from 1 species
CCCUUAGAUGUCCUGGGCCGCACGCGCGUUACACUGAUGCAUUCAACGAGCAUAUAACCUUGGCCGAGAGGCCUGGGUAAUCUUGUUAACAUGCAUCGUGAUAGGGAUAGAUUAUUGCAAUUAUUAAUCUUGAACGAGGAAUUCCUAGUAAUCGCAGUUCAUCAAACUGCAAUGAUUACGUCCCUGCCCUUUGUACACACCGCCCGUCGCACCUACCGAUUGAAUGGUCCGGUGAGGCUUUGGGAUCUGAGCGGAAAGAGCGUUUCGCUGUUUCUGCUCGGAAAACUCAGUCGAACCUUAUCAUUUAGAGGAAGGAGAAGUCGUAACA